rnacentral:rRNA from 1 species
UACGUAGGGCGCAAGCGUUGUCCGGAAUUAUUGGGCGUAAAGAGCUCGUAGGCGGUUUGUCGCGUCUGCCGUGAAAGCCCGGGGCUUAACUCCGGGUCUGCGGUGGAUACGGGCAGACUAGAGGCAGGUAGGGGAGAACGGAAUUCCCGGUGUAGCGGUGAAAUGCGUAGAUAUCAGGAGGAACACCUGUGGCGAAGGCGACAUCCUGGACCGGUAUUGACGCUGAGGCGCGAAAGCCAGGGGAGCAAACGGG